AAUAGUUUCUUUGGUGGUGACCUACUACAUGGAUAACCGUAGUAAUUCUAGAGCUAAUACAUGCGUAAAUCUCGACUCACGAAGAGACGUAUUUAUUAGAUAAAGACCGACUUCGUUCUGCGGUGAAUCAUAAUAACUUCACGGACCGCAUGGCUUUAUGCCGGCGGUGUUCCAUUCAAAUUUCUGCCCUAUUAACUUUCGACGGUAGGAUAGAGGCCUACCGUGGUGUUCACGGGUGACGGAGAAUUAGGGUUCGAUUCCGGAGAGGGAGCCUGAGAAACGGCUACCACA
rnacentral:rRNA from 1 species